rnacentral:lncRNA from 1 species
AGCACGUUUGACUAAUGAAGUUGCAGCCCCUCUGUCCUUACGUCGGGCACGUCUCUUCAGCCACCUCCAGGGUCCUUGUGACCUGUGAGGGAAAAGCACCCCAGUUGCCCUUGAAGACAAAAAGAGAAAGUCUUGUUUGAGGUGAAGGCGGUAUCUAUCCAAUUUUCAGCUGCCGUCACAUCGAAAUGAGAAAUCUGAGGCAGAACCAGGCACAAAUAGCUGAUAACAGACUUUCAGGGCCCCUACGCUGGACAAAGCAGUUGAGAAGCCAGUUUCCUUCUUUGGAGGUGACAGAGCCCUUGGAUGGUCAUUUCUCAGUGCUUGGAGGACGUCUGAGGCCUCUGGCCCUGGCCCAAGUGAGCCAACGUGUGGGAAAAUUGGGAGCUGUGGCCGGGAUUCUCACACCAAUGACUCCUUAUACCUGGGAAGGUUCUAUGCUGCCCUAGAAGUACCAGGUCAGUCAGAAUUGGCAAUGGAAGGCUUCCUACAGGCUUCCUUGGUCAAUGAGAUGAUGGAUGGGACCCUGGGAAAAGAGAAGAGCUGUGCACAGAAAAGAGAACCCAAAGGCUGAAGAGGGAAAAGGAAAAAUAGUUCCCAUAAAUUAAAAACAGCACUGAAGUCCAUUGUUACAUUGACCAGAAGAGUGAGUGACCAGCAACAGGAACAAGGAAGUAGCCAUUUCAGCAUUUGCNGUCUUUCAAAUUCUUCCUCUGUGCCCUAAGCAGUAACCCUGGGGUCCNCUGCUCUGCCUUCCUCAGCUUUGCAUGGCCUGAUUCGAAGCUCACAAGGCCUGGGCAAAGGAAGGGGUUCCCCUGAAAAGCUGUUGGUCAGUCCAGACCGUGGCAGGCACAAAAGUCCAAGGCAUGCUGCUCAUUCCUUAAGGCAGCGUGCCCCCUCCUAUCAACUCUGCUCUCCUGCUCCUGCGCUUCAUAUCCCUCCCCACCCCCACCCCCCAUCAAAGCCAAGCAUGUUCCUGUGCCUGGCACAAGUCUGGUUCAUAUUAAGCACAUUUGGUGGCUCAGCUUGGGCCUGGACAACUGACCACACUCGCUCAAAUGGAAUAAGAGCGUUCUUGUCAGGAUUUCUCUCCCCCUCAGCCUUAGAUCUGUAAUGGGUUUCUUAUGUAGCAGCAAAGAAAAUGUCUCUCAACUGGAUCACCCAUUUUCUUGUCAAAAACCUUUGGACAAAAGCUAAUCAUGAAUAAAACGCCUUGCAAUUUUUCA